GAUGAACGCUAGCGGCAGGCUUAAUACAUGCAAGUCGAGGGGCAGCAGGACUGUAGCAAUACAGUUGCUGGCGACCGGCAAACGGGUGCGGAACACGUACGCAACCUACCCAAAACUGGGGGAUAGCCCGGGGAAACCCGGAUUAAUACCUCGUAACCUUUUUAAGUGGCAUCACUUGAUAAGUAUAGCUCCGGCGGUUUUGGAUGGGCGUGCGCCUGAUUAGGUAGUUGGUGCGGGUAACGGCCCACCAAGCCUGCGAUCAGUAACUGGUGUGAGAGCACGACCAGUCAUACGGGCACUGAGACACGGGCCCGACUCCUACGGGAGGCAGCAGUAAGGAAUAUUGGUCAAUGGACGCAAGUCUGAACCAGCCAUGCCGCGUGAAGGAUGAAGGUCCUCUGGAUUGUAAACUUCUUUUAUGGGGGACGAAACCCGGAUAUUCUUAUCCGAUUGACGGUACCUCAGGAAUAAGCACCGGCUAACUCCGUG
rnacentral:rRNA from 1 species